rnacentral:rRNA from 1 species
AGAUUGAACGCUGGCGGCAUGCCUAACACAUGCAAGUCGAACGGGAGUAGCAAUACUCUAGUGGCGGACGGGUGAGGAAUACGUAGGAAUUUGCCCUUAAGUGGGGGAUAACCCGGGGAAACCCGGAUUAAUACCGCAUGACCUCGAAAGAGCAAAGUGGGGGAUCGCAAGACCUCACGCUUUUGGAGAAGCCUACGUCGGAUUAGCUAGUUGGUGAGGUAAUGGCUCACCAAGGCGACGAUCCGUAACUGGUCUGAGAGGAUGAUCAGUCACACCGGAACUGAGACACGGUCCGGACUCCUACGGGAGCAGCAGUGGGAAUAUUGGACAAUGGGCGCAAGCCGUGAUCCAGCAAUGCCGCGUGUGUGAAGAAGGCCUUCGGUUGUAAAGACACUUUAAGGUUAGGGUAAGAAAAACGAACGACUACUAAC